rnacentral:rRNA from 1 species
UGGGGAAUAUUUCACAAUGGGCGGAAGCCUGAUGCAGCGACGCCGCGUGGGGGAUGAAGGCCUUCGGGUUGUAAACUCCUUUCGACAGGGACGAAGCUUUUGUGACGGUACCUGUAUAAGAAGCACCGGCUAACUACGUGCCAGCAGCCGCGGUAAUACGUAGGGUGCGAGCGUUGUCCGGAAUUACUGGGCGUAAAGAGCUCGUAGGUGGUUUGUCGCGUCGUCUGUGAAAUUCCGGGGCUUAACUCCGGGCGUGCAGGCGAUACGGGAUGACUUGAGUGCUGUAGGGGAGAAGGGAAUUCCUGGUGUAGCGGUGAAAUGCGCAGAUAUCAGGAGGAACACCGAGGGCGAAGGCAGGUCUCUGGGCAGUAACGGACGCUGAGGAGCGAAAGCAUGGGUAGCGAACAGG